UCCGGUUCCGGAAAAGCGCUCAUCUUGUACGACACGCAGCCGCGAAAUACGCGUGGCCGUAUAUCGACGUUGCCAGUCCACCCCGUGAUCGUGAAGCUUGUGCUUCCGUGAACGAAGGAAAGCCGUGGUCGAGCGCGCUGCACGGUGGCUCUGUCGCAGCCUCAAUGCUGCACGUGCAGAGGUCGCAACCGGGUACCCGAUACCCGUACCCUACCCGAUACCCGGCUACCCGUUUGCAACCCUGGUGCGGCCGGGUACGGGUAGGCAGUGAGUCACUGGUGAGUAACCGUUUGUCACUCAUUUCCCAACGUCUUGUCUCUUCUCACAAUUCAAUUUCCUAGAAUAAAUCCACCCGCGCCUGCAACAUGGCUUCAUCCCAGAGGUCGCAAUCGGGUACCCGAUACUCGUACCCUACCCGUACCCGGCCGGGUACGGGUAGCCGGGUAUCGGGUAGGGUACGAGUACCCGUUUGCGACCCUGGUGCGGCCGGAUACGGGUAAGGAAUUAAAACCCGUUUGCGACCUCUGUGCACAUGAGAUGCGUGCCGCUCAGCUAAACGUGAAACACGGGGCUAGCGGUCGCUGCCAGCGGCAGCAAGUUGCGGGGGGGGCAGGCUAGCCUUUUUUAUUAUUAUCAGAAUCUUUAUUCAUACCGAGAUGUCCAGUACGGGCACGGGGUCAGAGAGUUACAACAAGAAACGAUGCAAAAAAAACGAUAGGAGUGCAAAGUAUAGGAAAGGCAAGCGAAUCACACAGACAGAAAAAAAAGUAACCGAGACAUGUCAAGUUACAGCAGUGAGAUUUCAACUAAUUACAACUAUAUCUGGCUGUGGCCUGAUGAAGCUCAUUGUAAUUACUGGCGAAACGUCAUACUCAGAUUGUAAAUGUUGUGGCUUGGCUCUCCAACACACCGGUGUGCUGUACUAGUGACGAAUUAGCACGUUCUGUUUACGUGACAACCCUUACUAGUUGGCUGUGUCGGGUGGUGGCGGGUUUAACGACACAUAUUUACGCGAUCUAACCCCCAAAAACCUGUGUUAUGGAUGAUAUUGGUCGCGAAAGCCGACUGCGUGCGAAACGGAUCCUCGAAUCAUAACCCAGAAAUCUCAGCAGUUCAUUGACCUGCCCAGCGCUCUGGGUCUAUAUCUGCCGGUGGCGACGGUGAGGAAUUUCCAAAUGUCGAUGACCGAAAUCUCCUUUGCCGUGGUGAAAAUGUCGUCUUGCGGUGUUGCCUCGGAGAAAUUGGAAUGUCUCGCGCGACGCUCAGUCGGAUUACUUUAUUCACCAACGGUUUUGAAUUGAAAGUCACCUAAUCAACAUUUUAGUGAUUUUUCUUUUUUAAGUGCAGAUUAGACUUCAUCCAGCCGUUACUCCCCUAGCGUAAAAUGUUUUACGCUUACGAUGGACAUUGAUGUUGGACUAUCCUUAAAUAAGUUCCAUCAAACGCACUGGAGCUAUGCACUUUUAAAUCGAGAUUGAAAACUCAUUUCUUUAGAACUGCUUUUUGUGUUCUUUGGGUCUUUCGGUAAAGUCACGUAGAUAGAAGAAAAAAUAAUAACAAUAAAAUAAUAAAAAUGAAAAUUUAAUACAAAAUCAUAAAAAUAUCACGACGUUUCGAUCGCAACACAAGCAGUCGUCAUCAGGAGAUUUUUUAAAAUUUUCUUUCUAUCUACGUGACUUUACCAAAAGACCAAAGAAUAUGAAUUCCUGCAGUCACGAAAGCUUUAAGUCUAUGCUUUUUGUCUUUAGUUAGUUGUCUUCCCCCGCACCUCCGAUUGGCACGGUUGGCUACAUACGAUGCGAACAAAGUUCAACACACUUAUAGAUACAUACAUUGCCUUGUGUUCAAGCAACGGGCAGCUUUUGAUUCUUUAAAUUGUCUAAUCCACGGGUCACAUACCUCAACGAGUGUCAUUUACAGCAUCACCAGCAGACGGGAGUGAUUUUGAUGUAUAUACCGCAACAGUGGUCUGCAUUGUUAUCACCAUUGUCCUUUGCUUUCACCAGGAGAGACUCCUUUGAGCUGUAUUACCUUAAUGACCUAGGCUUCUUGCUCCUAAGACAGAAGUGUCGGUGACAGAUGUAUAUAACCUUUUCCAGCAGAGCCACCUUGGGGACAUGUUUAAAGCCAGUAGCAGCUCACGACUUGGGCCAGUUGUCGUGUCACAGCCCCAAAGGACCAAACCUGCGGUGUUUCACACUGCUCCCUGGAGUAACGAAGGCGUGAUGGAGAUCAGAGUGAUGCCAUAUUUUAAUAUGGGCACUGUAAAACUAAACCGAACUGUGCUUUUGUUGACCAGGUAAUGCCCAUUGAGUUAUGCACAUCUUUUUCAGAAGCGACCUGACCAUCACAAAUGAUAGCUCAACGAAUUUGCUUAUCGUGUGGAAAGUUCUAGCAGCCGCAUACUCUAGACGCGUGAUGUUGUUUCUAAAUGUUGAGGGAAAAGACGGGGGGACCCGGAGAAAAAUCCACGCGACCGCGGGUAGAGAGAGAGAGACACGCAAACUCCAAAUAUACAGCAGGCGUUUCUGUCCAUCGAUCUCACGACCACAUGCAUAUCAGGCGAGGUAGUUAACAUCUCCUAGCCACCGUGGUGAUGAUGAUAGAGACAGGCAAACUCCAAAUAUACAGCAGGCGUCAGGAUCGUCAUCGAUCCCACGACCACCUGCAUACCAGGCGAGGUAGUUAACAUCUCCUAGCCACCGUGGUGAUGAUGAUAGAGACACGCAAACUCCAAAUAUACAGCAGGCAUUUCUGUCCAUCGAUCUCACGACCACAUGCAUAUCAGGCGAGGUAGUUAACAUCUCCUAGCCACCGUGGUGAUGAUGAUAGAGACACGCAAACUCCAAAUAUACAGCAGGCGUCAGGAUCGUCAUCGAUCCCACGACCACCUGCAUACCAGGCGAGGUAGUUAACAUCUCCUAGCCACCGUGGUGAUGAUGAUAGAGACACGCAAACUCCAAAUAUACAGCAGGCGUCAGGAUCGUCAUCGAUCCCACGACCACCUGCAUACCAGGCGAGGUAGUUAACAUCUCCUAGCCACCGUGGUGAUGAUGAUAGAGACACGCAAACUCCAAAUAUACAGCAGGCGUCAGGAUCGUCAUCGAUCCCACGACCACCUGCAUACCAGGCGAGGUAGUUAACAUCUCCUAGCCACCGUGGUGAUGAUGAUAGAGACACGCAAACUCCAAAUAUACAGCAGGCGUUUCUGUCCAUCGAUCUCACGACCACAUGCAUAUCAGGCGAGGUAGUUAACAUCUCCUAGCCACCGUGGUGAUGAUGAUAGAGACACGCAAACUCCAAAUAUACAGCAGGCGUCAGGAUCGUCAUCGAUCCCACGACCACCUGCAUACCAGGCGAGGUAGUUAACAUCUCCUAGCCACCGUGGUGAUGAUGAUAGAGACACGCAAACUCCAAAUAUACAGCAGGCGUUUCUGUCCAUCGAUCUCACGACCACAUGCAUAUCAGGCGAGGUAGUUAACAUCUCCUAGCCACCGUGGUGAUGAUGAUAGAGACACGCAAACUCCAAAUAUACAGCAGGCGUCAGGAUCGUCAUUGAUCCCACGACCACCUGCAUACCAGGCGAGGUAGUUAACAUCCCCUAGCCACCGUGGUGAUGAUGAUAGAGACACGCAAACUCCAAAUAUACAGCAGGCGUCAGGAUCGUCAUCGAUCCCACGACCACCUGCAUACCAGGCGAGGUAGUUAACAUCUCCUAGCCACCGUGGUGAUGAUGAUAGAGACACGCAAACUCCAAAUAUACAGCAGGCGUUUCUGUCCAUCGAUCUCACGACCACAUGCAUAUCAGGCGAGGUAGUUAACAUCUCCUAGCCACCGUGGUGAUGAUGAUAGAGACACGCAAACUCCAAAUAUACAGCAGGCGUCAGGAUCGUCAUCGAUCCCAUGACCACCUGCAUACCAGGCGAGGUAGUUAACAUCUCCUAGCCACCGUGGUGAUGAUGAUAGAGACACGCAAACUCCAAAUAUACAGCAGGCGUUUCUGUCCAUCGAUCUCACGACCACAUGCAUAUCAGGCGAGGUAGUUAACAUCUCCUAGCCACCGUGGUGAUGAUGAUAGAGACACGCAAACUCCAAAUAUACAGCAGGCGUCAGGAUCGUCAUCGAUCCCACGACCACCUGCAUACCAGGCGAGGUAGUUAACAUCUCCUAGCCACCGUGGUGAUGAUGAUAGAGACACGCAAACUCCAAAUAUACAGCAGGCGUUUCUGUCCAUCGAUCUCACGACCACAUGCAUAUCAGGCGAGGUAGUUAACAUCUCCUAGCCACCGUGGUGAUGAUGAUAGAGACACGCAAACUCCAAAUAUACAGCAGGCGUCAGGGUCGGCAUCGAUCCCACGACCACCUGCAUACCAGGCGAGGUAGUUAACAUCUCCUAGCCACCGUGGUGAUGAUGAUAGAGACAGGCAAACUCCAAAUAUACAGCAGGCGUCAGGAUCGUCAUCGAUCCCACGACCACCUGCAUACCAGGCCAGGUAGUUAACAUCUCCUAGCCACCGUGGUGAUGAUGAUUAUGAUAGAGACACGCAAACUCCAAAUAUACAGCAGGCGUCAGAGUCGGCAUCGACCCACGACAACCUGCAUACCAGGCGAGGUAGUUAACAUCUCCUAGCCACCGUGGUGAUGAUGAUGAUAGAGACACGCAAACUCCAAAUAUACAGCAGGCGUCAGGGUCGGCAUCGAUCCCACGACCACCUGCAAACCAGGCGAGGUAGUUAACAUCUCCUAGCCACCGUGGUGAUGAUGAUGAUAGAGACACGCAAACUCCAAAUAUACAGCAGCAGGCGUCAGGGUCGGCAUCGAUCCCAUGACCAACUGCAUACCAGGCGAGGUAAUUAACAUCUCCUAGCCACCGUGAUGAUGAUGAUAGAGACACGCAAACUCCAAAUAUACAGCAGGCGUCAGGGUCGGCAUCGAUCCCACGACCACCUGCAUACCAGGCGAGGUAGUUAACAUCUAGCCACCGUGGUGAUGAUGAUUAUGAUGAUAGAGACACGCAAACUCCAAAUAUACAGCAGGCGUCAGGGUCGGCAUCGAUCCCACGACCACCUGCAAACCAGGCGAGGUAGUUAACAUCUCCUAGCCACCGUGGUGAUGAUGAUGAUGAUAGAGACACGCAAACUCCAAAUAUACAGCAGCAGGCGUCAGGGUCGGCAUCGAUCCCAUGACCACCUGCAUACCAGGCGAGGUAAUUAACAUCUCCUAGCCACCGUGAUGAUGAUGAUAGAGACACGCAAACUCCAAAUAUACAGCAGGCGUCAGGGUCGGCAUCGAUCCCACGACCACCUGCAUACCAGGCGAGGUAGUUAACAUCUCCUAGCCACCGCGUUCGGGGUAGACAAGCACUUCCUCUCGACUUGCAUGACUUUUACAGCCAGGUAAUAGCUUAACGAGAUGAGAAGUUGUAACAAAUAAAUAGCCACUCGUCAAACAAAUCCCAAUAUUUUAAUUCUGGGUAUGCAUGCCGUUGUAAAUAUAUCCGCUUGCUUAAGCAAAAUCCGUUGGCAUUAUUCUAUUUUUAUUGCGUUAUAGAAUAUAUGAUUGCAUGUGUAUAUGUACAAGUGUACAGUAUAUAUAUUAAACUUGGCGUUGGUUGGCCUGUAGACACUUUGUGAGAGUGUCGGGCCAGAAACGAUGCACCCUUUCUAGCCGAUGGCUUUUUGACCAACGCUCGAAAGAUCCAAUCGACUCCCCCCAUCGAGGACCACAAGGAGAGAAACGUCGUCUCGAUUAGACUCCUCUGCUUGGGUGGUGUGAACUUUGCGAUGCUUUGUGAGACCCCCCCCUGCCCUGCCCUGCCACCCCCCCCCAUCUGCUUUCACAAAUAUGAGUUGUUUACAUGCCAAUUUCAUUAAUGUAUCUUCCAGAAUGCACUUACAUCGCCGUUUUAGGUAUAUUAGACAUUUUUUUUUCGUUUUUUUAAUGGACAAUUUUGGAAAUGUUACGGUAUUUGCUCGUGGAACUUUUUGGGUGACCUGUUUGCUCAUUUUGGAGAAUGUGAAAACUGUCGGUUUUUUUUUACAAUAUAUUUUGAAUUUAAAUGAAAAAAAAAGUUAGUCGGUCUCUUAAUGUCAAUUAUAAUCUUCCGCCAACUCUCUUUUUCUGCUCAGAAAAAUUGGCAAUCGUCCAGAUUGUCGGUUUAUUAGGUACGCUUUGCUUAUAAGGCAACGUUCGGUAAUUCAUUCGUGGUGGAGUAUUUUCAGCCUGAAACUAUUUUAAUUUAGUUUGAAUAUUUUACUUGUGAUUUUUACCACGUUUUUCUUUUUUACAAUUGUACAGUGGGGUUUCUUAUGUAAAGUUCAGGAUUUCCAUCAGCAGAGUUUUUGAUGAGUGACUUCGCUUUAUAAUUUAUGUCAUCUGUGAAACUGCUUGUGACAUUGAGGCUGCAGAGGGAGUCAUGUUGUUUAGUAUAAGAAGGCAUUAAUGGUAAUAGCUCAUACAAAACAUUAAAAUAUAUCGACCUGUACUAAGUAAUAGAGCCACAUCAUGUUGAAUGAAUGUAUGCUAAUUGUAAUAGAUUAAAUUAACUUCACAUAUAAUCCAAGAAUACAGAAUUGCUGGCCUUAAAAUUAGCGAAGUAUUUCAAACGCACCCAAAAAGAUGUCUCACUACUCUGGGCUUGGCUUGCCUUUCGACGUCUUUGCACAUUCGCAAGACACGCGUGCCCGUGCAUCUUGCGCUCACUUUAAAACCCAGUAAUUCUCCCAUUCUUUCACAAGCAUGCAUGACGUAUUAUCACACAUCCCAUGGACCCCCUCUUAAUCCACCAAUUUACUAAUUUGGUUUUCCAUCAGUUGCAUUAUAGGUGGAGUGGAAUUUUACCGUUGUGAAUUGCACACUAUUGUUUGUAACCCCCCCCCCUUCCCCUACUGUGGACUGGACAUUGAAAAGUGUUUUCAGACUGAUCGCCCGAUGGAGCCGCUUUAUCAAGGCUACCGUGAAUUGCCAUUGCAUGGUACUUGGGCACACCGUAGAUCUGCGUGUUUUAGGAAGUGGCACCCUGGAAUGCUGCGCGUUACACGUGUGGCAUUUUCCGGCGGAAGAUUCACAGGUGGUAAAAAAAAAUAAAAGUUAGACGAUCAGAAUUAAAGCCCCAAAAUUCUUAAGAAUGGGGAGAAAAGACAGGGGUGACAGAAUGGAAAUGUACACACUUUAAAUGAGCACACACGGGAAGACCAAGCCCAUCCAUCGCAUCUUACAUUCGGCUCCGUAAAACGAGCCAUAUCUCAACAAGUGUUGCGUGUGCCCAUUGAAAAGCCCACAGAUAGGUGAAGAUGUCAAGCACGUGUCAGCCCAACGUGUACCCUGGAAGUCGAUGUAAACAACACGUGUGGUUUAAAGCCUGGUGACAAGAAACGUUACUCUGCGUACCAUGUUUUCACGGCAUGGACAAGAUGAUCCAUAAGCAUGUGUAUGCAGCGUGUAAUCCUGAUUACAGAGAAAACGUUACCAUUAUUUGAAAUGACCUGGUAUACAGUCUAUUCUGAGUAAUGAGUAGCUACGUAAAUGCAUAACUUCUAUAAACGUAGGUACUGUUGGCACAAAAUAGAGAUUAGUCCAGUGAAGUUGUACGUGACCAACUAUUAUUAGAAUGUCGCUAAAAUGAUAAAUUUACCGUUUUACACAAAAGUCACUAAAUUCGUUUAUGACCGUGAGUAAUCAAAAGUUGGAUUUCGUAGAAUUUCAAACCAAAAAAAAAUGGCUAGAAAAAAAAAGUUCCGUGUCCAUUAAAGUCGUGUACAUCGUUGGUUUGUUAAACGUUGUUUUUUGCCAUUUGACAAUACUUUAGAAGUGCUUUGAUUUUUUUCAUAUUGAAUAAAAAUAAACCUACAUGCA